UGCACUUCUCUUUUGUUUGUAAUUGCUUAUGCCUAAAUUUACACCAGAUGUGCAACGUGUAAUGCUUUCCAAAAAUAAAUGAGAAAUGUAAGCCAAUCCAUGGGCACCAAUCACAUGGCCAUUCUCAUGUUUUGCAGAAUGUUAUACUGAUGCUCAAGCGGAGGAUUAUAGGCCCUUGUAUAAUGUUAAUGUACAAGCUUGGGCCUGAUAUCAAAGGCCCUAUUUGCUUUUAGACCCAAUGACUUAAAUGGGCCAAACUUGGGUUGAUCUACAUUAAGGUUCUAUUGUAGGUAAUAUGCAUAUUCCAUAAAAGAGGAUCCAAUUAGCUUCUUUUUUUCUCGUGUACAACCAAGUUUAUUUAAUAUUCCAUCUUUCUACUUAUCCUUGAUUUGGCUAUCUGAUAAUCAGAUAAUCCUGCUUGACCACCUGUUAGGCACAUGAUGUGCUUUUUCUCAGUUUCGUGUUGUUUUGCUGGUGGUUGCUUGUUAACUUUUAGGACUUGAUUAGGUUUGACUAUAUUGAACGAGGUUGCCGAGCU